GACGGGGGAGGCAAGCGUUUUCCGGAAUCACUGGGCGUAAAGCGUCUGUAGGUGGUGAUGCAAGUCACUGGUGCAAAACUCUGGCUCAACCGGAGGAAAGCCAGUGAAACUGCAUGACUAGAGUGUGGGAGAGGUAGAAGGAAUUCCCUGAGUAGCGGUGAAAUGCGUAGAUACAGGGAAGAACACCGGAGGCGAAAGCGUUCUACUGGAACACACCUGACACUGAGAGACGAAAGCUAGGGGAGCGAAUGGG
rnacentral:rRNA from 1 species